rnacentral:rRNA from 1 species
GUGGGGAAUCUUAGACAAUGGGGGAAACCCUGAUCUAUCCAUGCCGCGUGAGUGAUGAAGGCCCUAGGGUUGUAAAGCUCUUUCAGCUGGGAAGAUAAUGACGGUACCAGCAGAAGAAGCCCCGGCUAACUCCGUGCCAGCAGCCGCGGUAAUACGGAGGGGGCUAGCGUUGUUCGGAAUUACUGGGCGUAAAGCGCGCGUAGGCGGACUGAAAAGUUGGGGGUGAAAUCCCGGGGCUCAACCUCGGAACUGCCUUCAAAACUAUCAGUCUGGAGUUCGAGAGAGGUGAGUGGAAUUCCGAGUGUAGAGGUGAAAUUCGUAGAUAUUCGGAGGAACACCAGUGGCGAAGGCGGCUCACUGGCUCGAUACUGACGCUGAGGUGCGAAAGCGUGGGGAGCAAACAGGAUUAGAAACCCGGGUAGUCC